rnacentral:rRNA from 1 species
GUGGGGAAUAUUGGACAAUGGGCGAAAGCCUGAUCCAGCAAUGCCGCGUGAGUGAUGAAGGCCUUAGGGUUGUAAAGCUCUUUUACCAGGGAUGAUAAUGACAGUACCUGGAGAAUAAGCUCCGGCUAACUCCGUGCCAGCAGCCGCGGUAAUACGGAGGGAGCUAGCGUUGUUCGGAAUUACUGGGCGUAAAGCGCACGUAGGCGGUUACUCAAGUCAGAGGUGAAAGCCCGGGGCUCAACCCCGGAACUGCCUUUGAAACUAGGUAACUAGAAUCUUGCAGAGGUCAGUGGAAUUCCGAGUGUAGAGGUGAAAUUCGUAGAUAUUCGGAAGAACACCAGUGGCGAAGGCGACUGACUGGACAAGUAUUGACGCUGAGGUGCGAAAGCGUGGGGAGCAAACAGGAUUAGAUACCCCGGUAGUCC